rnacentral:rRNA from 1 species
AGAGUUUGAUCCUGGCUCAGAUUGAACGCUGAUGCUUUACACUGCAAGUCGAACGGUAACAGGCCUUCGGGCGCUGACGAGUGGCGAACGGGUGAGUAAUGCAUCGGAACGUGCCCAGAGGUGGGGGAUAACGCAGCGAAAGCUGUGCUAAUACCGCAUAUUAUCUGAGGAUGAAAGCGGGGGACUUUGGCCUCGCGCCUUUGGAGCGGCCGAUGUCAGAUUAGGUAGUUGGUGGGGUAAAGGCCUACCAAGCCGACGAUCUGUAGCUGGUCUGAGAGGACGACCAGCCACACUGGGACUGCCUACCAAGCCGACGAUCUGUAGCUGGUCUGAGAGGACGACCAGCCACACUGGGACUGCCUACCAAGCCGACGAUCUGUAGCUGGUCUGAGAGGACGACCAGCCACACUGGGACUGAACACGGCCCAGACUUCUACGGGAGGCAGCAGUGGGGAAUUUUGGACAAUGGGCGCAAGCCUGAUCCAGCAAUGCCGCGUGCAGGAAGAAGGCCUUCGGGUUGUAAACUGCUUUUGUACGGAACGAAAAGGCUCUGGUUAAUACCUGGGGCUCAUGACGGUACCGUAAGAAUAAGCACCGGCUAACUACGUGCCAGCAGCCGCGGUAAUACGUAGGGUGCAAGCGUUAAUCGGAAUUACUGGGCGUAAAGCGUGCGCAGGCGGUGAUGUAAGACAGGCGUGAAAUCCCCGGGCUCAACCUGGGAAUGGCGCUUGUGACUGCAUCGCUGGAGUGCGGCAGAGGGGGAUGGAAUUCCGCGUGUAGCAGUGAAAUGCGUAGAUAUGCGGAGGAACACCGAUGGCGAAAGCAAUCCCCUGGGCCUGCACUGACGCUCAUGCACGAAAGCGUGGGGAGCAAACAGGAUUAGAUACCCUGUAGUCCACGCCCUAAACGAUGUCAACUGGUUGUUGGGUCUUAGCUGACUCAGUAACGAAGCUAACGCGUGAAGUGACCGCCUGGGGAGUACGGCCGCAGUGAAACUCAAAGGAAUUGACGGGACCGCACAGCGUGAUGAUGUGUUAUCGAUGCACGCGAAA